CGUCGACUCUGUUUGGAGUCGGGAUCACUUAAGUGUCGUUGUUACCAAAUUCGUCUUUGGGUCUGUUCUUCGCUAAUGAGCAGUGGGAGUAUUUCCUUUGAUUUUGCUAUUGGAAUUUGGUAACGAGCGUGUUAAGGUCUACGUUUAGUUAGAGACUCACUAAGGCUUUGCAAAGAUAUGACAUCUGUACCAUUUCAUGAAACUACGCUUGUGAGAAAUAGGUAAACAUUCUCCAGCCAGAAAGUUACUCAAAAUACUGAAGAAAAACUAGGCUGUUGAUUGGAGUAAUUGGAACCCUGGUGUUAAGGUACUCCGGUGUUCGUUGCUUUUACAAGACCAUAUAUUUAAAUGACAGGAGCCUGGUGUUAACUGAUAUACUGCGUUUGAUGCCAAAAGUUCUUUAAAGGAUGUAAUUAAAGAUUUUAAAUAAAUAUCACUUGUAAAUAUGAACGUGCUUCCCUUUACCAAUAGACAUCUUAUACUGGUUUUAGUUCCAUAAUAUUAGAAACUAAUUGAAUGCCACUCAGUAGGAUAGGAGGCUUAAUCUUUAGUGGGGCAUCAUGACUGUCGUGCAUAUUUUGGUGGCGUCCCCUAAUUUUGAAAACUAACGUAGCUUGUUUGCUGGUAAACAACACUUGCCGAUAUUUUAGGUGAAGGUGCUCAGGCAUAGCAAAUUGGUUAAGUAACAUUUUUAAGAAAUCUUAAUAUUUUAAGAAUUAUAAUUUUAUUUUUUAAUUAUUUU